CCUACGGGUGGCAGCAGUGGGGAAUAUUGCGCAAUGGGCGAAAGCCUGACGCAGCGACGCCGCGUGAGGGAUGAAGGUCUUCGGAUCGUAAACCUCUGUCAGCAGGGAAGAACGGUCACUGUGCUAAUCAGCAGUGAAUUGACGGUACCUGCAAAGGACGCACCGGCUAACUCCGUGCCAGCAGCCGCGGUAAUACGGAGGGUGCGAGCGUUAAUCGGAAUUACUGGGCUUAAAGGGCUCGUAGGCGGUAUGUCAAGUGAAGGGUGAAAUCGCCGGGCUCAACGUGGGAAGUGCCUUUGAAACUGGGUACCUGGAGUGGGCGAGAGGCAGGCGGAAUGCCUGGUGUAGCGGUGAAAUGCAUAGAUAUCGCGCGGAACUCCGACGGCGAAGGCGGCAUGCUGGCUCCACACUGACGUUGAGGCUCGAAAGCGUGGGUAGCGAACAGGAUUAGAUACCCUUGUAGUC
rnacentral:rRNA from 1 species